rnacentral:rRNA from 1 species
GAUGAACGCUGGCGGCGUGCCUAAUACAUGCAAGUCGAGCGAACAGACGAGGAGCUUGCUCCUCUGACGUUAGCGGCGGACGGGUGAGUAACACGUGGAUAACCUACCUAUAAGACUGGGAUAACUUCGGGAAACCGGAGCUAAUACCGGAUAAUAUAUUGAACCGCAUGGUUCAAUAGUGAAAGACGGUUUUGCUGUCACUUAUAGAUGGAUCCGCGCCGCAUUAGCUAGUUGGUAAGGUAACGGCUUACCAAGGCAACGAUGCGUAGCCGACCUGAGAGGGUGAUCGGCCACACUGGAACUGAGACACGGUCCAGACUCCUACGGGAGGCAGCAGUAGGGAAUCUUCCGCAAUGGGCGAAAGCCUGACGGAGCAACGUCGCGUGAGUGAUGAAGGUCUUCGGAUCGUAAAACCCUGUUAUUAGGGAAGAACAAAUGUGUAAGUAACUAUGCACGUCUUGACGGUACCUAAUCAGAAAGCCACGGCUAACUACGUG